UCCUUGGUGGUCUAGUGGUUAAGACUCUGUGCUCCCAAUGCAGGGGGCCCAGGUUUGAUUCCUAUUCAGGGAA
rnacentral:tRNA from 1 species